ensembl:lncRNA
CCACGGUCAAGGGAAGAAGGAUGGAAGAAUUUUGAUUCAGGGCAUGUGGUGGUACCAAAAACGCACCACCACAUGCAAAAUAUUAUUUUACCCACCAAAAAAGUAUCACCACAUGCCCCGAAUCACGUUCUUCCAUCCUCUUCCUUGUUGGUGGCCUCUUAUCACCUUCAUAAGUGGGUUAGUCCCGCACACUAACUCCAUGGGAACCGGGACUUUUUGACGAAGAGCUCGGUUGAACCGCAAAGAGGAGGAAGAUUUGUGACAGCGCACAAGGAAGGACACGGCUGCUCGUUACACGACAGUUCGUGUGGGUAGACCGUGCUUGUCGGCAGUGUGGCGAACCGAACCGCAGCCUCUUCUACAGUUGUUUUUUUGACGGAGAAUGUAUCAUACUCACCUCUACUCAAUGAACCUACCUUGAGCUCAUUAUUUUGUUGUGGUUUUCGGCGUCAAAGCGACAGAGAUGGAAAGCAAGUUAGCCAGCACUACUCCAUCUUCCUCUUCAUUUGAUAUGCAGCUACUGACAUAACCAGUGCAGCGGAAGAUGGACAUCCAGAGUGGCAUACAAAAGGCAGUGGAGCCCCUCCCUACCUCUCUCCCCUCCUCCCCUCAACAGUCGGGUGCCCAUCAGCAGAGCGAGCCGGAGGACAGCCAGGCAGAGCAGAGCGCCAGGCCCACCGCUGACAACCACAGCAAGGACACCCAGCCAGCCGCCGGCCACCGAGACGACAAAAAAGGGCUGUCAGGAGAAACACUUUCACAUCCAAGGUUACAGAUGGAGAGACAGAGAAGUUCGUCAUAAGGUGGCUGCAGCUUGCACCAGACAGAGACGGACACAGGAAGGAGAGGACCGAACACAGCAAGGAAAGGGCAGAUAGACCCCAAGAGAAAUAGAUACAUUGACAUACACGCAUACAUACAUGGGAUAAAGGGAUGAACACUGACUCUUUGUACAUUAUCUGGAAAUAAUGGACGACUUGGUACUGCCCGAGUUUAUUAGUUCCAAGUAAUGUACAGAGCGGAGGCGUUUAUCCCGCUUAUUCCACGGUUGCCAAAGAAAACAAGACCACAUUUACUGGUAAAAAUGUACAUGUUUUCUUUGAGAUUAGAAUUUUGAUAAGUAAAUUCAUGCUAUUUCAUCCUUCCCGUUGUGCUGUCGGUUCGGUUGAUAGAGAAGCGGACUUGUUGUUCAUUCGAUUAAUUUGAUUGCUAUGCAGGCUGGCAAUGUUCUUAUCCCUUACUUGCUAGGUAGCCAACUAUGGCUAACCCAGUCGCUUCAACUAUGCACAGAAUAACAUCAAAGUAGCUGCAUUAGCGUUUUUUUUAAGCUGUUUUCUAGUGACAUUUAUUUGGAUAUGACCAUGCUACUGUACCUAAGUAGUACUUGUUGAGGGAUGACACGCACUCAAAAGUAAAUUUCAUAUAUUUAAAUAAAAAAGGUAAAAUGAGAAAAUGUCAUGUCUUUUUUUAUGCUUAUGUUGUUCAUAGUUCGGUUAAUAGCUGCAAUAUUACUUCCUCAAUUUAACAUCAUUAUUCUUUUUUGAGUGUGUGUGUGGGGUGGGGGGUUGAAUCAAGUGGAUCUGGGCCAAUUCUGGCCCUAAAAUGGCAGCUUUGGCUUAGUUCAGGCUGCCAGAUCUGGGCCGAAUUACUCUGGCCUAGUCUGCCGUCAUUCAUUUCGGACUCGGGCGAAAUCCAGCUUCCAGACCCAGGCCAGCAGUUUUAGAUCUGGCAUGUCAGAAUCAGGCCAGAUGUGGGCCAGACAUUUUUGUUGUUAGUGAGAGGGGCUUGGUGUGUGUGUGUAAACCAGAGGAAGAGAAGAAGUAAGAAGUUUCACUCUCACUAAAUUCCGUCCAAAAUAAGUCCAAUGCGUUGCUAUGGGCUUGUUUUGGACCUAACUUGUCACCUGCAUUCCCUCCUUUGGGACAAUGACUCCCAUUGUUAGGGCGGAGUCGUGCAUUUCCUCAUUUUAUACAGAUCUCUGGUCUAAAUGGAAAGAUGCACACAGCACAGGAGCGAAGGAGACGAGAAAACAUGUGGACAAACGUUCAUAAACUCAAACGACUUAAAAACGUGAUUCUUGUAAUACAGGCAUUUGGAAUAUCGUGCAAAAACAUAAAAUUGGAAUUCAUCGAAUUAAAUUGAUAUAUUGCCCAGCCCUACUACAACUAGCUUUUUGCCUCUAUUUUCAUGCUCAGGCUGUCAAAAAAAAUCCCACAAAUAUUCCUGGGCUGAAAGACAGCAUGUAGAAAAAGGUUCUCCGUGUACAGUGUAUUCUGACACAAACAAUAAGCGAGAUGGAAAAAGACCAAGAAAACUCAGAAGGGUUCAGACUUCAGAGUCAAAAGCCUUCAUGUAAUUUUUAUGUGACACACACCAGGGUUUCCAUUAGCCGGUAAAUGCUGGCUUUUGGCCGAUUAAAAAAAAAAAAAACGAAAAGCAGAUAAGUAAAAUUAUUGCCGCUCAAAUUGUAGAGAAAAAUAAAAAACCAUUGCGAAAUAAUGCGUUUUAUUCAUUGAUGGAAAUACCAGUCGAUGUGCUCCAACUUCAAAGGCAAAUAUACUUCAUAGACUAAUAAAGUAAGCUUUCUCUCAAUGAUUAGCCAAAUGUGUUUUAUUUACAUAUCGAAUUUGAUUGUUCAACAUCAGUUUUGGAAUUUCUUCAUUUUGUGGCCACCUAGAGUGUCCUCUUGCCACUGCUGUGGUGCUGAAUCGCAAUGGGAAUGAGGAGUAGGGUGGGACAGCCCAGUCAUGGCUAGAAGGGAUCUAGCUUUUGUCAAAUUAAUGUCAAAUGUAGAUUUUUUUUUAUUUUAGCUAACCCUAACUCUUUUCCUAACCUAAACCUAAUUUUCAACACCCUCUUUUAUACUACCUCUCAGGCUGGGAGAGGGGGGAGCUGGGUGAUAUCAGAGUAAAAUUGAUUACUCACAGAGCACACACCUGCCAGAGCCACAGGUUGUGUGUCAUUUACAUUAAAUGUUUGUCACUUACAGGAGCAAUCAGGGUUAAGUGCCUUGCUCAAGGGUUACUGGCCCAACGCUCUUAACCGAUAGGCUACCUGCCGCCUGCUGUGUGUGAGUGUGUGAGAGAGAGAGAAAUAAAGAGUGUGUGUGUGUGUGUGUGUGUCAGGGUUUCCGCCAGGAAAAUUUGGCACCGGAUUAACCUGAGUUAAUUCUCCAAACCUGCUGUGUAAAUUCUCCUAACCUGCUACGAAAAGUCAAAUCUGAUGUUUACAAAAACUGGAUCCCUUCUAGCCAUGACCGGCCGGCCCUGGUGUUUGUAGACAGCCAUGUUUUGUUAUUUAUUAGUUAAAAUGUUCAUUCCUAGGCUAAAUUAAAUUAGAGGCCUAGAUUGUAUUUGGAAUCAGUUGUUUUAUUAUUUAUUCAUUAAAAUGUGCAUACAAAUAGCCUUUAGGACAGGUCGUUCGCAAAUUAUUUUAUACAAAAUCUAUAUUUUGAAGUAGGCGACUUCUUAUAGGCUAAUUAUUGUUAUUAUGUUUUAUGAUAAUCAUUUGUGAUUUAUAGCAAGGAUGAAGACGCAACAGGCAAUGCUUUGCUUAUCAAAUAAAACCUGUCAUGUUGCUAUAAGAACAUCAUUCUACUUUAUUUGUUUACAACUUUACAAGCUAAUUUCUAUUCUGUUAAAAUGAAUGACAAUCUAAAUGUGAUUUUUGAGCACCGUGGGUAGACAUCCUAAUGGGUUACAAAGCCAAUGCAUAUGGAUGUCCAGUAUAUUUCUCAAAUGUCCAGUAAAUUUAAAAUCUGUCCGGUCACGUUGUCCGGUGCCAAAUUUUCCUGGCGGAAACCCUGACACAUACACACACACACACACAC